rnacentral:lncRNA from 1 species
UGGACCGACACUUUGGGCGGCGCGUGGGGGCGCGUCCAGCCUCUGACCGGCGCGUGGUUGGUACGUACGCGUUCGUGUCGUCGAGUAGAUCGAUUCCGUAUAUUUAUACCUUAGUUUUGAGCAAACUAUGGGCAUUUUAUGUAGGUUUCCGUUAUGUACGUUAAUUAAUGAUAUUUAGUUAUUUCACAUAUAGGGGAAACUUAUUCCGAGGAUUUUCGAGGCCAAGCUAGGCUCGGGGGCUACGACCCAACGACGUACUUGUGAGUGGGCAGUUGUUUUAUACCUAUAUAUAUUUAUAGUUUCCAUAAAUGCGUAUUUACUUCAUUUUUACGCUUAUAUUGCCUAGUAUCAUUAUUGUGAAAUAAAUUGUGAUAAAUACUGUCAUAUGGUUGUGAUAUUACUGUCAUGACAUUCAUACAUACUUGUGUACAUGCUCAUCUUGCUGCACCCGGUGUUAGUACUCGCCCCAGGGCCAGGGCCAGUCCUUCACGUGUAUGUUCACAUCCGCACCGUUUGCUCACCUUGGAUCCAAGUUUAGGUGCCAGUCUUGUCGGGUAGAUUGCAUCAGGCAAUCCGACUUGUAUGUGAUGUGCUUUUGCACCAGUCUUCACGUGAUCGUAGUACUAGAGCAUAUUGAUUACACCCAGUCAUGUUCGUGUCAGAAACCAUCUGUCCGAACUUGUGUGUCAGCUUAGAUGGAUGAGCACUUAGUUAUAUUGAUUAUCACUUGAUUAUUAUUGUGGCAUAUGAUACAUCAUUGACUUGGCAUAAUUCUGGUUAUAUGGUUGAUAUAUAUAUAUAUUGGAUUUCAUACUUACGUAGUAUGUUUUGAGGAAACUAUACUUGUUUUACGGCGAGGGGUUAGUAUAUUCAAAGAUAAAGGUUUUCUUAUAAGCAUUGUUUUGCUGACCCACUCAACUUUGUUUUUCGCCCCUCCAGGACCUAAAUAAUUGUACUCUCAGUGGCAAUCGAGGAAUCACGGCAAUUCUGACAUUUCCUUCUGUUUAGACGUACGAACUUAUCACUACUAUGUAAUAAGUGUACUUUGGGUUGCUUUGACUAUUUUUUCGUAGUCUCACUGUCUAUUAUGCUCUGAAUAAUUGUAGUGGGUUCAACCCACGAAUUGCGCACUCUUUCACUGUUUAGUUUUAAUUUUAUUCACUUUUUACAUAACUUACCCUUAUGGUUACGUCACCUCACGGUGAUGGCCAGCAUGCUUCGACCUUUCCAGGUCGGGGUGUGUCACAUUAUCACUCUCUUUCUCUCUCUUUCUACUUCAAAAACAAAAAAUUCACACAUUUGUAUGUACCCAUAUGCUAGUAAAUAUAAUGGUAAGAAAUCAGUGAUUUGGUUAUGAAUCAUAUAAUUAAGAUGUGUUUUAGGUAAUUUUAUUUAUUUUUUAUUUUUU